rnacentral:misc_RNA from 1 species
UGCUGCCCAUCGCACUCGCAGGUGCACGCAAGCCACCCCUUUUCCAGCUUGUGCGAUCACGCUCACAGAGAGGCACUCGUCUUCUUAUACGGCUAUGUCUGCUUGGCACUCGCUGGCGUUGCCGCUUUCGGCCGACUACGCGCAUAACGAACGUGAGGGUUUCUCGUUCUUCUGCACCAGUGGCAGCUGCGACAGUACGACAACUUUGGACCGCUACCUGGACGAUCUGUGCGCCUUUCUGCGCAGUGCCGGGCUCAUCCAGUCCCACCCGGACAACUACUUCCAGCUCAUCCGCGGCGAGAGGUGGGCCGCGUCAUCGGUGCACUUCGACAACUCCCCUGUCGAGGCGGAGGAGCUCGCGCACACGAAGGCGCUGCUGAGCGCCUUCAAACCACUCUUGCAGGGCGAUGACGCCAUGUCCAAGCUGCGUGCGCUGGUUCGAGAUGGCCCGCCGACAGACGCAGGGCAGUGCGCCGGCGCGCUGGCCGGCGACGUAGGCGCUUCGUCAGCCUCGUGGUCGCCGGCCAGUCUCUCCUCUCUCGCCCCACUUCAGGAGUUCUACGCCGCCACGCGGCGCUUAAUGCUAGGCCGUGCGCGCCGUGUCGAGAACGACGUCGCCAGUCUCACACUCGUGACAGAGGCUGAGCGGCGGACCAUCGACCGCGACUCCUCCAGCGCACAGACGCAGCAACAGCACGAGCAGGAUAUACUCGACCUCGUCGUUUCGCAGGGCAUGAACCUGAAAAAGCAGCACGAGGUGCCCAUCAUGCGAAUGACCAUACGCGACUUGGUGCUGUGCUGCAACGCCGGCGUGGGGCGCGCGUCUGCAGUGCGACUGCAAACCGGAGAACAGGAGGAUGUGAGAGGGAAGACCGGGAAGCACCGCUGUGGUGACGUUGCUCCAGUCGGCACAGUGAUCAACAUAGGCGAGGGAAAGGGCUACGUGUCGCGUGCAGUGUCUCUGUGCGAUAAUCUCCAGGUGGUCGGCCUCGACUGCAACCCCGCUCACAAGGAGCGUGCCGUGGAGCGCUUCGAAUCGCUUGUGGAGACGAGCCUCUCCUCACGCGACGGGCGGCCCCGCGUCAAUCUCCUGUACGAGCCGCGCGGCCACGUGGCAAGCAUCGCCUGCCGGGUCGGGGAGAAGGUGGACUGGGAGUCGCUGCUGCAUGGCCACGUCCGAACGUGCGCAGACCCGUGCUGCUUGCUCUCCAAGAGCUGCGGUGGCGACACUUGUUCGGCUGUGGGGACUGCCGUAGAGGAUCAAGGCUCCAUCGCCGAGGACGACGCCGCUGUCUUGACGCGCACUCGCGGCGACGAUACGGUGAAGCUGGCCUGCCGAGUCUGCGGCAAAGUUGUCCGACAGGACUGCACCGCAGCCAUCAUGAAGCACGUCUACAAACAUCUGCACGGCGGCAUUGGGCCUAGAGCGGCUGCGAGCGGCGUGCACGCACUGGAUAAUGCGACGGAAACGUUGUCCCCGCCACCACCGCACCAGAUGCGCGUUCCGGCGUUGACGGAGGUGCAGCAGUGGAACGUGUCGCUGCCCCAGCACGCGUACGUGGCGAAGCUGACAGAGCACUUCUUCGCUGUCACGGACGUCGAUAAACGGCAUCUAUCCAACCGAAACGAUGCGGCGCUGCUCAGACGUGUCGCCGUUGACGGUGAGGGCGGUACUGCUCUGCGGGGCAGCUCAAGUAAGGCCACGCCACGGUACCUCACCUUGGCGCCCCGAGCACACGGUGAGGUCCGUGGUGCCACAAGCGGGGCCCAGCGGCGGCGGCGCUCGCCGCCAGAGCACGCGCCUGUCACGCUCGAGCCCGCCUACACUGCUCGUGGCUAUCGCGUAGUGCUGCUGAUGGCUGUGGAAGAGGCGACCGCAUCCAGAGAGCACUUGCUUUCGCCAGCCAGCUCCGGCAGUCCGGUUGAUGGAGGCGAGGCCCAAGGAGUAGUGGUGACGCCGCCGGCGCGCGAGCGUGAGUCAGGGCCAGGCUUGACCUCUUCCGCUGCCGGGCAACCACCCCAGAUGUGGUCAUACACGCAAGUGCGUGCCACCGUUGUCGGCUACGACGGUGGCGUAGACAGCCACCAGGUGCGUGUCGACCAGGAAAGCAAGAAGCGCACGCUACGGCUCUACCGCCUGCGGGCGGGCACCACAGCAGCGGCACGGGAGUGUGUGCUCGAGUUGACGGACCGCCACGGUGGCGGCAUCGCAUGCGUAGGCGACUGGCAGCUGCCAGAUGCGGGGACAUGGGGCCGUGAGCGCGUUGCGCUCGUCUUGGCAGUACUGCCGCCUGCCCUUCCCUCCACCCCUGUGGUGUGCGUGCCUAGCGUGCGGAACACAGUCCUCAUUGGUCUGCACUCGUGCGGCGACUUGGGCUCCAACAUAUGCCGCAUCUUCCGCAACAGCUCGGCGCGUGGUCUGCUGCUUGUCAGCUGCUGCUGGCACGCGCUGACGCCGCAUGGCUUUCCGCUGAGCCGCGCACUGCAGCGCCGCGGCUUGACAACUAACAGCAUCUCGCUCCUCCUUGCCACGCAGCCGCUGGAUGCCUGGUCGACGGCCUCGCCCGAGGGCCACCGCAGCUCUGCCAAGCUGCUCUUCUUUCGCAGCCUCUUCAAGCUCCUGUGGAGACAACUGGCAGGGAUGUGGGAGGCAGGGCGGAAGGACGGGUCUGUGUCACGUCCUUCCGGCUGCGCACACACUGACACCUUGGGCGGCGAUGACACGUGCGCGUUCCCGGACGUGCCGCCGCAUCUUGAGCCUGCCUUUCUUCGACGAAUCUCGCGCGAGAAGGACACGCUGACCUUCACCCAAUUUGUGCACGCCGUCGCCGCCGAGUACGUCUACUCCGGGUCUUCCAAGGACACCCCGUACACGCCGUGGAACAUUGGGCGGUGCUGCGCAGUGUGCCGAACGGCGCAGGAGGCGCACGCGCGGUACGCGCUCACGCAGCAGCGUCUGCCUGAGACGAUGGGGGCAUGCUUUGAAGAGGAGCACUUCGCUUCCUUCCUCGGUCUGACCGUGCUGCGCAUGUGGAUGUGCCACCUGGUCGAGUCGCUGCUUCUCCUGGAUCGCGCCCUCUACUUGCAUGAGGAGCUGUCAGAGUGCCAUAGCCGUGCAGCAGGGGCACCGGCAGACGAGGCAGAGAGUAGCGCGGUGGCGCUUGUGCCGUUGUUCGACGGCGCCUUGUCGCCCCGCAUGUAUGGCGUCCUUGCCCGUCGUGGCGGGUCAGCGUGCGCCUAAGGCACCGCUCCUCGAUUUUCCCUUCCCUCAUAAAGCUGCCACACCCGUAACGCCAUUGAGCACUCGCAACGCGAACUCACGUGCGUCGCCAUCACCGUGGCAUCAGCACCUCUGAGGAAUAGCUUAGCGCUACCGGUGGCACUGCCACUGGCAGCGUAACGAACCACAG